rnacentral:lncRNA from 1 species
AUGAGGAUUCUGUUAUUGAUUUCAAUGCAGCUGCGAACCAGGUCACUGUUUCUGCUCCAUCUCUCAGAGGGCUUAGGGAGGUUAUUAAAAAAUAAAAUCAAACUGCACCACGGGGAUCAAACUCAUUACACUCACUUUUCAAGAGGCAAAGAGAAUAAAUGCUUUUAUUGUCUGGGGAUACUGCACUCUUCAUUGAAGAGAAAAUUUGUGUUGAGUCAGUCUGAGUGCUAUCAGCAACAGCUCUGCUUGACAGACAGGCUUCUGAUGCUACAGGAGAAAACGAGCAUCUGUUUUUUCAUUGAUUUGUUUGCAAAUCUCACUAUGAGAGCUUUUUGCAGUUUAUUUUCACAGUUCUGGGGAAGACAAAAAAAAAGAAAAAAGAAAAAGAAAAGGUGGCAGUCCUGCCCACGGCAGAAGGAGGUUAGAACUAGACGAUCGUUGAGAUCCUUCCCAACCACAGCUCCCGCACCGAGGCCGCCCAGCUCCCAGCGACACCCCGCACAGCCGACGGGCGGCAGAGCAGCCCCUACCUCCGGCCCUCUCCUGCCGCUGCGCAUGCGCGUCCGCUUGGGCAUGCGUGUCCCUGCGGAGCGGCGCCGGCCUGGCUCCCGGCGAUGUGAGCCCGCCCUGCGCGGCGGGUCGUCCUGCGUCUGGCUGACUGGAAGAUGUUACGUAAAUACGAGUUGUGCAGACCUUAGCAACCCCUAGGGAAGCGUGCUGAACCUUACCUGAUCAGGUACUUGGCACAUGAAGUGAUGCUUCCGGGUGCUUAUUUGCACGGUGGACCCAGAAUGCAGCACAAGAUCAAGGAUGGCCUGUUUGCAAAACAUUGAAGUCUUUGAAGGCCUACAGACUUCGGCUUUGCUUAGGUCUGAUCCAUUCUUGCAGAGUUUUCAGGUUCUUGCAGCUGGGAAUUCAUAGGAAAAGUGAAGUUUAGAGACUUUAGCUGAGAAGCUUUGAUAUUUGCUGAUGUUUACUUCUUUACUGUGGCAGUAGUGGUGAUGAGCACUAUUUGCCUGUUACCAUUUAACUCUUGAAUGCAACUGUUAAAGUACAAGUGUGUAUGCCAGUGCUGAACUGUGACAUUGCAACUGUGUUGGCAUGGGAGACACCAUCUAUUAGGAUAGGUAUCGUGUAUGUAUUCUAGAACUCUUGCUCUUCAGUUUUAUGCCUCUAUAUAAGUAUAUUAGAGGUUCAUAAUACACUGUGCUAGACCAGGGUCUGUCCUGUUGCCAGUCAAAUCAAAAGCUUCUGGGGGAAGUAAAGUUAGCGUGUAUGCUGCUUGCUUUUUAAUAUACUUGAAUUGUAAAUAUUUUAUUGGAAACAAUAUUAAUUGAAACAGCAAUGUGGAGCACUAGCACCAGUUCCUGAUGCAUCAGAAGUAACACUUCAUGAUAGUGAAAUCUUGGUACAGGGGGGCAGGAGUUUUGUAGCUUCCAUGUCAAGCAGAGAAAGAAAGGACCGGUUUCUUCAGUAAAGGAGGAAGAUCUUGCAAAUGUUCUACUUAUAGACUGUAAUCUCUAGUGAUGUGAAAUCUCUGUACUGAGGAGGGGAGAUGAUAAAAUAAUAAUUGGAGAAGAAAGUAAACAUGUUUUGUGUCAAUGUCAUCUGGGUUGAAAAACUGAAAUGCAUUAAUACAUUUAAGCAGUUAAGAGAAAUUGUUUCUGUUGGGGAAGAAGUAAUUAAAAAAAAAAAAAAAAAAACUGAU